rnacentral:lncRNA from 1 species
CAAAAUUUAUCACAUGAAUUAGAAAACACAGCUGAGAAAUUACCAUUUCAUCUGCACUUGGACUCCGUACUUCAUCUGUGCCACAUAAAAACAGAGCUGACAGAGCAGUGACCAAGAAGUCGUGUGAGAAGCAGCUACAACCAUGGUGUUAAGAAGCAAAUCAGGAGAAUACACAGUAACAAGAGGUACAAGAGGAGAGCACCAUGCAGGUGAACAUGGACGAGCUGCUACAGUGUGUCUGGGGCUGCUGUGUCUUCUCCUCCUGUCUACAGUCAUCGGCCUGGUGGCACACUAUAACAAAUCAGAUUGCAACCUGGCCAGAGAGAGAGAAGAGUUACAGACCAGUCUCAACAGCAUGAGUCAAGAGAGGACCCAGUUACAGACCAGUCUCAACAACCUAACUCAAGAGAGGAACCAGUUACAGACCAGUCUCAACAGCACGACUCAAGAGAAAAAUCAGCUGCAAAUGGAGAUUGAAAGGCUGACACUGAAUAUAAAAGGCAUGGGAAACUAA